rnacentral:rRNA from 1 species
UUGUCACACUCCUACGGGAGGCAGCAGUGGGGGAAUAUUGCACAAUGGGCGAAAGCCUGAUGCAGCCAUGCCGCGUGUGUGAAGAAGGCCUUCGGGUUGUAAAGCACUUUCAGCGAGGAGGAAAGGUUGACGGUUAAUACCCGUCAGCUGUGACGUUACUCGCAGAAGAAGCACCGGCUAACUCCGUGCCAGCAGCCGCGGUAAUACGGAGGGUGCGAGCGUUAAUCGGAAUUACUGGGCGUAAAGCGCAUGCAGGCGGCCAAGUCAGUCAGAUGUGAAAGCCCCCGGGCUUAACCUGGGAAUUGCAUUUGAAACUGCUUGGCUAGAGUCCUUGAGAGGGGGUAGAAUUUCAGGUGUAGCGGUGAAAUGCGUAGAGAUCUGAAGGAAUACCAGUGGCGAAGGCGGCCCCCUGGCAAGAGACUGACGCUCACGAUUGCGAAAGCGUGGGGACGCAAACAGGAUUAGAUACCCUGGUAG